rnacentral:lncRNA from 1 species
AAACCCCGACAUAUUUCGACUUUGGUGAGCAGAAUCACACAAGCAUCUAUUGUCAAAAACCAAAGAAGAGCAUGCAUAACAUCUGAGAAUCGUGUUCUAAACCUUAAAGGAUAAGAAGUUGCAUGUUAAGUUGUUAAAGUUUGAAUUUUGGUUGAAUGAAGUGAGUUUCCUUAGACAUGUAAUUUCUAGAAUGGAAUAAAAUUGGAUUUGUAUAAAGUAGACACAAUAUUGCAAUGGAAGACACCUAAGUCGGUAACCAAUAUCAGAAGUUUAUGGGCUUG